rnacentral:rRNA from 1 species
UGGGGAAUAUUGGACAAUGGGCGAAAGCCUGAUCCAGCCAUGCCGCGUGAGUGAAGAAGGUCUUCGGAUUGUAAAGCACUUUAAGUUGGGAGGAAGGGCAGUAAGCGAAUACCUUGCUGUUUUGACGUUACCGACAGAAUAAGCACCGGCUAACUCUGUGCCAGCAGCCGCGGUAAUACAGAGGGUGCAAGCGUUAAUCGGAAUUACUGGGCGUAAAGCGCGCGUAGGUGGUUCGUUAAGUUGAAUGUGAAAGCCCCGGGCUCAACCUGGGAACAGCAGCCAAAACUGGCGAGCUAGAGUAGGGCAGAGGGUGGUGGAAUUUCCUGUGUAGCGGAGAAAUGAGUAGAUAUAGGAAGGAACACCAGUGGCGAAGGCGACCACCUGGGCUCAUACUGACACUGAGGUGCGAAAGCGUGGGGAGCAAACAGG